rfam:Oesophagostomum dentatum strain OD-Hann O_dentatum-1.0_Cont14601.1, whole genome shotgun sequence.
CCAACGGCCCUCUUUAGGGCCACAAAUUAGCUUGCGAAUACUGG